rnacentral:rRNA from 1 species
UACGUAGGGGGCAAGCGUUGUCCGGAAUCAUUGGGCGUAAAGCGUGUGUAGGCGGUCUCAUAAGGCGGAUGUGAAAGCCCUGGGCUCAACCCAGGAAGUGCACUCGAAACUGCGAGGCUAGAGUAUCGGAGAGGUUGGUGGAAUUCUCGGUGUAGAGGUGAAAUUCGUAGAUAUCGAGAGGAACACCGGUGGCGAAGGCGGCCAACUGGACGAAUACUGACGCUGAGACACGAAAGCGUGGGGAGCAAACAGG